ACGAAGUAUAAAUCAGAAGGUAGUGCAUUAACAUUAGCAUAAACAUUAGCAGUGUACUGCCCCCCACCCACAUUAGCAGUAGCCUUUUUCCUAAAAUAAGCUUUUUAGCCAUUUGUUUAUUUAUUAGCCAUGUUUAGCACACUGAAAGGAGGAAGUCAAUGUAAGACACCAUGCUGGUUAUAGUCCAUAUGCCACUGGCAGCUUUAGCAUUUUGGCUAAUUUUAGCUUAUACGGUGCAGGUCAUAUUUGCCGUUUCUCCUGUAAUCUUCUGCCCUGCUUCAUCUCCUUAACUCUUCAUCUGUUGUUAUGUAAGCACCGACACCACCAGGGGCCAGAGGGCCACAUCUGCCAGAAGAUGGCAGCAUCGGACGCACGCAGAAUGAAUUAAAUAACCAGCUCCUGUUGGGGAGAUGUGUAUAUUUAUUUAUAUGUGUUUGCGGUGAGAAGAAGCAGGGGGGAAAAAAUCCCCAGAUAGAAGCGAAACAAGCAGGCUGGAAGAGUGCGUGACACAGACGGAAGUUUGACCGGAUUCAGCCGCGGGUAGAGGAGAGGGAACGCCGCGACGCUGAUCCAGGGCGUUGAUGUUAGGACAUACAGCCAACCGAGAGGCACCAUCCAGCAGACGACUGGUGGAAGGAAUUCAAGCGAAGAGGAAGGCAGAAAUCCAGCUGGAGUUGGCCUCAGCGCCACAUUUAUGAACAUUUCAGUUUCCCUUUGUUCUUCUGGCCACCUUGGAGAGCCGGUGCAGGAUUAAAUACACACCCCAUCCACAGUGGAUCACUGGAGCGCCCUUUAAAUCUGCCCCCACCCUCCUCCUCCCACAGGCUGUAUGGCAGAGUAAACUUUCCAAAGUAAUUUCCUUAUCUCUGCUCUGAGGAAGUGUUCCAAUAAACUCAGCAGUUCAUGUUUUCCCAAGAGGGCUGAAACUUAGGGAACCUGCCUGGAACGGGUUCUCUCAGCAACCUUAGGAACUUUAAGGGUAAACUCUGGCCGCGGAGCACGGGAUGGGGAACAAAAACGCCGUUCCACCCAGAGGUCCGGGAGGCGGGGUCACUGGGAAAGACGACACAGCAUUGGUCAGCAGCGCUACAGGAGGCGUCACCGCAGAUAAAGCUCAGAGCCCCAGUCCGGAGCUGCUGUCCUCCCUGCAGGCCCUGGGAGAAAAUGACGACUACACUCUGCUGCCGCAAUCCCUGCACCAGAUUGCAGAGACCUACUCACUGAGGCAGGACCACCAGUGGGCCGUUCAGUUCCUCCGGUUGGAGAAGCUGUACCAUGAACGUCUGCUCUCUAAUCUCACAACCCUGCAGGAGAAAUGGGAGAGGGAGUUCAAUGAGAAGGAGGACGGUGAGACCCGGGGGCCUCCGGAAGAAGACAGCGUCAGCCGGAAACACAUUGAGAAGCUGAGCCACAUCUGCAGGACACACCACAGACCGUCCUUCAGCCUGGACCAGAAAAACCUGAACGCAGCGUUAAUAGACACUCGGAUUGGGACUGAAACUCUGCAGCCUCAUCAUGGUAAAGCCAACAAGCCUGAGAACACCCAGAGCAUGAUGUCCCAGUCAGACUUUUCCUCACCACAGCGGGAGGAAGAGGAAGAGCGGCAGGACGAAGAAGAGGCCCUCAAGAAAGGGCAGGAAGUGGAAGCAGAGGAGCAGGAAGUGGAACCAGAGGAGCAGGAAGUGGAACCUGAGGAGCAUGCGGCGCACGGCGAGGACACACCGGAGGAAGAGGAGGUGAAGGUGGAGUGGCCGGCAGGAGUAGCGCAGGCCUCGGACAAAGACCUGGCCAAACUCUCCAUCGCUGAAGGCAGCUCCUCCCCGGACGGCCUGGUGUCCAUCCUGAAGAGGAGGCGAGCCUCGCUGGACGGACUUCCUCCCCUGAGCCCCGCCACCACCGCCGACAAACAGACCUCCAAACGCAAAGUUCGCUUCAGCGAACCAGAGGACGGCGUAGACCAAGAUGACAUCGGAGGAGACUCCUGUCUCAUCCUGCUGCUGCUGUGUCUGAUCACCGUGGUGAUCAGCAUAGGUGGGACUGCGUUCUACUGCACUCUGGUGGACACUUACUCCAACAUCUGCACCGACUUCACUCAGAACGUCGACUUCUACGUCACGAACGCGCGGGGUUUCCUGGAAGGCCUCGGACUGUGGCUCCCCCUGCAGACUUAGGGCCAGCCGGGAUUCGAGGCUCUCUGGGCGUGAUGGAAGAGGCUUCUGGUCGCCGGCGGUGACGGGAAAACCUGGCGGGACCUCCGGAAACAGGGACAACCCCCCGCUGCUGCUGGUUCGCAGAGUCUGAAUCUCACUGUUUACUGGACAUAUGGACUGAUAGCUGCACUGAUUGCUGGGUCCUGUCGUUGAGUUGAUCUGCCUUUCCUCUCCUGCGACUCCCCCCACUCGGCUCCUUCAGACUAGCCAACAGCAUUUAGCAAACACCUGGUGGAACCGAGUAUCUGCGGAGCUCAUUAUAGGAGAUACUUCUCAGUGAAAACUCUGGUGAAAACGUUGUUAAAGGGUUAAUAGAGGAGCCAUGUUGGGAUGACUUCCUGAAGGCGGUGCUUCAGAAAGAGCAGGAGCUUCUUAAAGAGACAGAGACGGAAUUUCAAGGCGUUAAAUUACAAGGUAAAUAUUUUCUAAGUCAUAUUUGAUAUACAUGAUAUUCCUAUAAUAACUGAUGGUAACACAGUUAUAUAAUUGUGCUGUAAAAAUUAGAAAAUACAUAUCACUGCCCUUUUUAAUUUCCAUUUUACUCUUGAUUUUAAAUACUUUCACUGUUCUACGUUUUACCAAACAGGCGUUUCUUAAUACAAGACUCACCUGUAUUUUCUUUGUCUCUUUGAUAUUAAAAUCUGCUUCCAUCCAUGAGCCGGGUUCUGCUGAACGUUCCUCCCUGUCAACAACACUUUGUUUCUCUCCGCCGUCGCCAUGUGCUUGCCAAACACAGACCAGCACAUCCGGAGGGAACGUCACGACUCUUUCCUGGGCUUCUGGGUUUUAGGAGGAAGAAUCUGGAGACGUUUAUUUCCCUCCAGCGAACACAGCAGAACGUGCUCCACAAACCGCGCAGGAGCUUCUGCUGGCUGUUAGAUCCCAACAUCACAGGAGGCAGUCUGGCCACGAGCCGGUGGGAGCCAAAGUCAGGAAGAGGUCAAGCUAUUACUAAGGAAUUACUGUCUGGCUAAAACACUUAGGGCAUGACAGGCAGUAUUUCCACUGGAACGCAGCACUGGUUGGCAGAAUGCCCUGGAAAAAGGUCAAGCAUGCACAGAGAAACGCUUUCUGUGUUUUUGAUACUUUGAAUCCAAAUACUGAAUAUUUUUGGUGGUUCUAUUUGAAAUAUGGCUUUGAAUGAACAAGUGUGUUAAAUGUUUCCAAACGUUACAUUAAUCUGCUUUUAAAUUUCUUCCAGCUUGAUUUGGAGAGUGUGUUUUUGAUUUUGUCAUGAAAAUUAAUGAGAAUAAAUAUCUACAUUUGAAACAUUUAUUUUGUAUUUUCUUUGUCUCUUUGAUAUUAAAAUCUGCUUCUAUGCCAUUCAGGUGACAAAAAGUAUUAAGACCAAAAGAGUCUGUAAAAAGUGAUUUUUUUUUUUUUUUUUUUUUUACAAUACUGUACUUUUCUCACCAUACAUCAAAUAAGGAGUUUCCAGUAACGGUACAGAAACCCAGCGGACAUUAAAGUCAUUAAGUGUCUGAAAGAAUGCUGUGAUUUGUCGACUAUUACUGUCUGGCAGAGUGACUUAUAUUGGGAGUAAUGAGAUUUUAUUGGAAGGCAGAGUCUGCCAGGGAAGAGGAGGCAGAUUUAGGAGUCGAUCAGUGGACGGGAUGAGAUGAAAUUCUGCUCUGCUGAGGCUGCAAGCUGAGGAACAUUAAAGCAAACAUGGAUCUCUUCAAUUUCCCCCGGAGUGAUUCAGGGCGACUCCAGUGAAUUUGGAGCAGUUUUUCAGUGAAGAGACAAUGUGGCCUUCUAAAAGUAUUCACGUGUUUUGGAGGUUUUUUUCUUUUGUUUUUUUGUUUUUUACAAUUUGUCAUGUUGCAACCUUAAACCUUUUCGUUGUGUUGCCUGUUCGUGAACUACGGCCAUUUCAAGUGUCUUGCCACAACACAAAAUACUGGUCCAAAACAUAGGAUCCAUUCUCAUUACCUUUUGAAUUUAACAUGUAAAAACCUUAAGGAAGAACUGAAAAAACUUAGGGUGUUUUCACACCUGAUAGUCCGGUAGACACGGUUCGAUUGGAAUAUUUCUUACAUUUUCAGCUGCUCUGGUUCCCUCUUCCGUCGCACUGUCAAGUCAACCAAACCCUUUAAAAAACCUGUUCCCCUCCUCGCCUGUGGUGGCGCUGUACCAAGAACAACUGAAGCAAACGACAUAAAAACCUCCAAAGAAGACAACGAAGAGCACAACGUCUUUCCUCGCAAAUGUAAACAAAACGAAGUGGUGUCAAAUUUUAGUAGUUGUAGGAUUUCUCCUUUGUCUUUGGUAAAAGACAAUAACCCGUUUAGCCCGCUAGCACUUUUGCUUUGGUUGUAUUUACCCAGAAUGCCCUGUGUCCGCUUGGCCUUCAUAUGCAUUCAAACCAAACCAGAGUUCACGUCAACCGAACCGAGACCGAGGUUUGCAGGCGGACCAGAGUUCACCCUGUUCUCUGCAGACAAUAUAUUUUUGUCCUACCACAGUUUACAAUGAAUUACAGAUGAUAAAAUACAAUGGCAUAAGGACACUGUAGAUAGAAAAAUAAGAAUAUAUUUGGGCUAAAAGAACUCAGAAAUUUUGAGAUUAAUUUGAAACAUUUAGUAUUAAAACAAAGGGGAAAAUUCAGAGCGUAAAAAAAACCCUCAGAUAUUUUGAGAUUAAUUUCAGAAAGUUUUAGUUUUUUUCCUGAAAUUUCUGAGUUUAGAAUGUUGACCAUUUCCGGUGGAAAUGUACUCAUCCGUUUUUGUUUUCUGUCUACAAUGACCUAUAUGCUGUCGUAUUUUACCAGAUUUUCUUGUGACAAAAUUUAUUGUAAUCUCUGCUGGGACAAAUAUGUUGACUACAGAAAAAUUCAGGAACUAAAAAGCAUCAAGAGAUUUAAAAAACACACGUCAUUUUUAAAGAGCCCCGAAAUCUAAAUUUUUAAACCAACUUUCAUGGAUGUAAAUUGUAAAAUGUGAUGUCUGACUAAUCUUGUGUAUAUUAUAUAUUCAUUUUAAAUGGUCCUAUAUUAUUUUUGUAUUUCAUAAAUCAGGAAGUUAUAAACAAAUGGUGUUCUUAGACAGCUGUUGAACUUUUAAAUGAUCCAGAAACUGAUUGUACGUAAUGUCAGCUGCUAAAAUACAGCAGGAAUAUAGAGCGGUAAAAACCGUUGCUUAUGGACUGAUUUCAUAUUAUGACUGUUAGCGUAUUUUAAGUUGUUUCCUCUUGGUGAUGGAGGAAUCUGUACCUGCUGUAUGUAGGUCAGCCAUCCUGCAGCAGCUGUGGCUGUUUUGAUCAGAGACGGACCUUAAUGAAUCGAUUCAU